rnacentral:lncRNA from 1 species
GUUUAGGGUUUAGUUUGUUGCCAUGUCAAUUAAUUCUACUUUUAUUUAUGAUUUGGUUGACAUGUCAUGGCUGACAUGGCUUGGCAAACUAAACCCUAAAUCCUUUAUAAAAUAAAGAUUUGAGUUUGUGGGCCUUUAGUAUAUAUAUCAAUUUGAUAAUCAUUACUUUAUUUUUAUUUAUAAUCUAGAAAUCAUAGUUUGUUGUCAUGGUUGAGUUUGUUGGAGUAA